rnacentral:rRNA from 1 species
AUUGAACGCUGGCGGCAUGCCUUACACAUGCAAGUCGAACGGCAGCACGGGAGCAAUCCUGGUGGCGAGUGGCGAACGGGUGAGUAAUAUAUCGGAACGUGCCCAGUCGUGGGGGAUAACGUAGCGAAAGCUACGCUAAUACCGCAUACGAUCUACGGAUGAAAGCGGGGGAUCGCAAGACCUCGCGCGAUUGGAGCGGCCGAUAUCAGAUUAGCUAGUUGGUGGGGUAAAGGCCCACCAAGGCGACGAUCUGUAGCUGGUCUGAGAGGACGACCAGCCACACUGGAACUGAGACACGGUCCAGACUCCUACGGGAGGCAGCAGUGGGGAAUUUUGGACAAUGGGCGCAAGCCUGAUCCAGCAAUGCCGCGUGCAGGAUGAAGGCCUUCGGGUUGUAAACUGCUUUUGUACGGAACGAAACGGCGAGCUCUAAUAAAGUUUGCUAAUGACGGUACCGUAAGAAUAAGCACCGGCUAACUACGUGCCAGCAGCCGCCGUAAUAC